AGAGCAAUCACCACUCAGAAGAGGAAGCCAUCCAUUUUCCUGAGGCUGUCAAAAUUUGAGCUGUUUCCCAUUGGAUUUCCACUGACAGUUACGAAAAAAUUCAGAAUCUGUCAAUUUUGAAAGAAAUUUAAAAGUGAGAAUGAGGUUCCUGUGGACAAAAGCAUCUGCUUCCUGCUCAUCCUAUCUCUUCCGCAUCUGAAUGGUCAUGACUGGAACAUAGGCAGACUUUUAAAGUAUGGCAAUUUACAACCUCAUAAUCGAAUCUUUUAGAAAGAGGGUAUGGGUAACAAUAAACGUAUGUGCUGAGAAAUGA